rnacentral:rRNA from 1 species
ACGGAGGAUGCGAGCGUUAUCCGGAUUUAUUGGGUUUAAAGGGUGCGUAGGCGGAUUAAUAAGUCAGUGGUGAAAACCUUCAGCUUAACUGGAGACUUGCCAUUGAUACUGUUAGUCUUGAGUACGGUCAAGGUAGGCGGAAUGUGUAAUGUAGCGGUGAAAUGCUUAGAUAUUACGCGGAACACCGAUUGCGAAGGCAGCCUACUGGGCCGCAACUGACGCUGAUACGCGAAAGCGUGGGGAGCGAACAG